rnacentral:rRNA from 1 species
GAGAGUUAAAUAGUACGUGAAAUUGUUGAAAGGGAAACGAUUGAAGUCAGUCAUGCUAGUGAAAAUUCAGUUUGGUGGGUUUUGGGUUCAGGAGUUGAGGCAGGGUCAAACCGUUUCUCUUUUGAACUUGGAAUUUGCCAGAUGCACUUUUUCUUUGGCAGGUCAGCGUCGAUUUCGGAGGUUGUAAAAUACUUGGGGAAAAGUAGCUCUGCUUCGGGAGAGUGUUAUAGACCUUGGGUGAUGCAGCCUGUGGGAUCGAGGAUUGCAGCAAAUACCUUUGGCUUGUCGCCUGAUCUCUGGACGUCAUCUCGCUUGUAUCAACAUUCUUGGUGCCGGUGAGUAAUGGUGCUCAUAAGGUUAGAGCGAUCAAAAAUUUUGCUAAGGAUGUUGACGUAAUGGCUUUAAACGA